rnacentral:lncRNA from 1 species
AAUAAUUAAGAUAAAAUAUUUAAAACUGAGAGUAAAUAAUACAAAAUACAAGAUCUGUUAUUUUGGGAAAAAUUAACAAUCUAGUGAUUGUAAUCGCACACAGAGCCACCACCAUUAAAUAUAAACUCUCUCCAUCAUAUUAAUUAUUACUAAAAUAAGGAAAUUAUAAUAUCUCCUGAUAAGGAUGUACAGGAUUUGGGUGGUGAUUAUUGGUGGGGGAUUAAAUUUGGCAUUGCAAAAAUAAAGCCAAAAUGCUAUUUAAAUAUUAAGGAAUACUAUAUAGUUUCUUUAAUUACAAAUAGAUAAUUCAUAAUCCAGCUUGGUAAAUUCAUCUCUCUCUCUUCUACCUGAUGGAUGAUCCUGGUUAUCAUUUGAUACGGUUUCAUUGCAUUUGAUCACUGUAAUAUGACAACAAUUUUCUCUGCAGAUUCUUAUAUGUUAGAGAUCAUAUUUUUCUUAUUUCAAACAGAUUGAAUGCAGAAUAACUUACAUGCUCUUCGAAAUCGGGAUUUUCUAGAUUCACGGUUAAAUUUUUCAUAAGUAGAAGCACCUGCAGUUUUUGCUUUGCGUAAGUAUUCAACCAAGCAAUACAAGUUCAAAAAGAUGAAUUUGCAGAAAAUGGUACCGUUUCAACAUCAAUUGAUUCCAUCUGUUUCAGUGUCUCCAUAUGAUUAUCUUCUGUGUCUGGAUCUAACACACUACCAAUAAACUGAUGCACUUGAACGAAAUCCGGUAUGGCUGGACAAGCAGGACAUGAUCAGAAUACACAUUAAACAUCUUAAUAGAAUAUAUGAUCAUAUUACCACGAUUUGCAGGUAUAUUACGUAUCUGUUCUGAUGUUUCAGAUAUUGGCCAUGUUUCGGAUGGACUCCCACUGCUACUACAACCAUUCUUAUUCGGAGCAUUUUUAGAAGAUCCUACAUGUCCCCAAUCAUCUGUAAACUCUAAAAAAGAGGUAAUUAAAAUUAUGAUUGAAAUUUAUUUACUUCAGUGGAUUUAAAAAAAAUAACCUUUGCCACUGCUACUACAACAAUUCUUAUUCGGAGCAUUUUUAGAAGAUCCUACAUAUCCCCAAUCAUCUGUAAGACCUAAAAAGGGUAGUUAAGUUAUGAUUAAAAUUUAUUUACCUCAGUAGAGUUUAAAAAGAGAAUAACCUUUGCCACUGCUACUACAAAAAUUCUUAUUCGGAGCAUUUUUAGAAGAUCCCACAUGUCCCCAAUCAUCUGUAAAAUAUAUAAAAAGGGUAGUUAAGUUAUGAUUGAAAUUUAUUUACCUCAGUAGAGUUUAAAAAGAGAAUAACCUUUGCCACUGCUACUAUAAAAAUUCUUAUUUGGAGCAUUUUUAGAAGAUCCUACAUGUCCCCAAUCAUCUGUAAAAUCUAAAAAAAAGGUAGUUAAGUUGUGAUUAAUUUUUUUUACCUCAGUAGAGUUUAAAAAGAUAAUAACCUUUGCCACUGCUACUACAAAAAUUCUUAUUCGGAGCAUUUUUAGAAGAUCCCACAUGUCCCCAAUCAUCUGUAAAAUAUAUAAAAAGGGUAGUUAAGUUAUGAUUGAAAUUUAUUUACCUCAGUAGAGUUUAAAAAGAGAAUAACCUUUGCCACUGCUACUAUAAAAAUUCUUAUUUGGAGCAUUUUUAGAAGAUCCUACAUGUCCCCAAUCAUCUGUAAAAUCUAAAAAAAAGGUAGUUAAGUUGUGAUUAAUUUUUUUUACCUCAGUAGAGUUUAAAAAGAUAAUAACCUUUGCCACUGCUACUACAAAAAUUCUUAUUCGGAGCAUUUUUAGAAGAUCCUACAUGUCCCUGAUUAUCUGUAAAAUAUAUAAAAAAGGUGGUUAAGUUAUGAUUGAAAUUUAUUUACCUCAGUAGAGUUUAAAAAGAUAAUAACCUUUGCCACUGCUACUACAAAAAUUCUUAUUCGGAGCAUUUUUAGAAGAUCCUACAUGUCUCCAAUCAUUAGUAAAAUCUAAAAAAAAGGGUAGUUAAGUUAUGAUUGAAAUUUAUUUACUUCAGUGGAGUUUAAAAAGGUAAUAACCUUUGCCAGAUGAUAUAUUAUUAGUGCUAAUAGGUGUGGUGGUGUUUUGAGACCAACAAGGCAAAUCAUCGAUACUAAUCGGUGUGGUGGUGUUUUGAGACCAACAAGGAAAAUCAUCAAUGCUAAUCGGUAAAUCAUCAAUGCUAAUCGGUAAAUCAUCAAUGCUAAUCGGUGCGGUGGUGUUUUGAGACCAACCAGGAAAAUCAUCAAUACUAAUCGGUAAAUCAUCAAUGCUAAUCGGUGCGGUGGUGUUUUGAGACCAACCAGGAAAAUCAUCGAUGCUAAUUGGUUUGGUGGUAUUUUGAGACCAACAAGGCAAAUCAUCAAUGCUAAUUGGUGUGGUGGUAUUAUGAGACCAACAAGGCAAAUCAUCGAUGCUAAUCGUCGGUAUGGUGGUGUUUUGAGACCAAGAAGGCAAAUCAUCGAUGCUAAUCGUCGGUAUGGUGGUGUUUUGAGACCAAGAAGGUGCAUUAUCGAUGCUAAUCGGUGUGGUGGUGUUUUGAGACCAACAAGGCGCAAUUGUUAUGGCAUUAGGUGUCCCUUGUAUGGAAGAUGAAUCUACAACUGCUCUUUUGAAUGAAUAUCCUUGCUCAGAAACAACACUAUAAGAGGG